UGGACUUAGACCCAUGAAAGAAGGAGAAAACUGAUGAAAAGAAGGGUCAAGCAAGCUGCUGAGCACUCCGAGCGAUUAAAGGGAAACCGCUUAGCGGCAGAACUGACCGCUGAGUGGUCAAAACGGUAAGAGGCAAACCGCUGAGCAGUGAACUUAGGCGCCUGGACGGUUGUCUGUUUUUAUUAGCUAGAUUUUGUAAUCUUUCUGUUAUCUUUUUGGGCUUAUAUAUAGCCCCAAUGCAAAUUAGAAGGGGAUUCUUUUGGUAGAGAGAACGUCCAGAGCUAUUCCACGCACCUUGGAGGAGAUUCUUGGAUGCUUAGGCUCCUUUUUAUCAAAUCUAGGGUUUGCUUUUCCAUUCUUUCAUUAUUUUCAUCUAGUUUCACCAUGACAAUGGUGAACUAAACCCUUUGUUGUUGGGGAACAAUGUAAUCUUUUGAAACUCUCAUAUAUCCAAAUUCUUAUUUAUUUCAUAUGCUUGUCAUAUACUUGUUUAUCAAUUGUUGGGUUCUCAUCUUUGCUAAAUGCUUUGUUGUUUAACUCAUUCAGUAAAUGUCUUUUAUCUUUAUUGAUAUGGGGACGUGCGUUAAUGUCAUGAACUGGUGAGAAAUUCCUUGAUUAUGCUAAUACCGCCUAGGGAUAGGGGUAGGACGAUCAAUUGUAUUUGCUUCCGUUCGCAUUGCGUUAUUGGUUACUAGGGGAGGCUAGGGAUAGCAAGCCGGUAAUUAAUAAUAGGCUCUUUACACCAAGGGAUUGGGUUAAGGGUAGGCUAGAAAGUUUGCAUGGAAUUAGAUAAAUAGGUGAAGUAAAUAAGAAAAGUAGAUAUAUGAGAGUGGAUAAGAUGAAAUUGUAAACCCCAACAACACCAUUCAUCCAUAGUUUUUCAAAGCUAAUUGAAUCAACUGCAUUUGCAUGUUUAUUUUUGUUCUUUGCAUACGAACACCAACUUAAUUCUUUUCUCAAGUCUUACGUGAUUUGUUUACAUGAAAAGUAUGGCCUAAGAGUCCUUUGGGAAGAACGAUAUUGGGUUUACCAAUUAUAUUACUUGAUAACGAUGAGGUACACUUGCCAGGGG
rnacentral:lncRNA from 1 species